rnacentral:rRNA from 1 species
AGAGGGGGCAAGCGUUGUUCGGAAUUACUGGGCGUAAAGGGCGCGUAGGCGGCCUGUUAAGUCGGACGUGAAAUCCCCGGGCUCAACUCGGGAACUGCAUCCGAUACUGGCAGGCUUGAAUUCGGGAGAGGGAUGCGGAAUUCCAGGUGUAGCGGUGAAAUGCGUAGAUAUCUGGAGGAACACCGGUGGCGAAGGCGGCAUCCUGGACCGACAUUGACGCUGAGGCGCGAAAGCCAGGGGAGCAAACGGGAUUAGAUACCCCGGUAGUCCUGGCCCUAAACGAUGAAUGCUUGGUGUGGCGGGUAUCNAUCCCUGCCGUGCCGAAGCUAACGCAUUAAGCAUUCCGCCUGGGGAGUACGGUCGCAAGGCUG